GGGGCCGUGGUGAAAUGGGAUCACUACAGUAUGGCGUACUGUCGUUGAGGGUUCGACUCCCUCCGGCUCCA
rnacentral:tRNA from 1 species